rnacentral:rRNA from 1 species
CCUACGGGUGGCUGCAGUGGGGAAUUUUGGACAAUGGGGGCAACCCUGAUCCAGCCAUGCCGCGUGCGGGAAGAAGGCCUUCGGGUUGUAAACCGCUUUUGUCCGGGAAGAAAUCUUCCGAGCUAAUACCUUGGGAGGAUGACGGUACCUGAAGAAUAAGCACCGUCUAACUACGUGCCAGCAGCCGCGGUAAUACGUAGGGUGAGAGCGUUAAUCGGAGUUACUGGGGGUAAUUGGUGAAGACGGGUUUGAAAUCCCCGGGCUUAACCUGGGAACUGCACUUGUGACUGUACGGCUGGAGUACGGCAGAGGGGGAUGGAAUUCCGCGUGUAGCAGUGAAAUGCGUAGAUAUGCGGAGGAACACCGAUGGCGAAGGCAGUCCCCUGGGCCUGUACUGACGCUCAUGCACGAAAGCGUGGGGAGCAAACAGGAUUAGAUACCCCAGUAGUC